UGGGGAAUUUUGGACAAUGGGCGAAAGCCUGAUCUAGCCAUGCCGCGUGAGUGAAGAAGGCCUUCGGGUUGUAAAGCUCUUUUAGUCGGAAAGAAAGAGUUGCAAUGAAUAAUUGUGAUUUAUGACGGUACCGACAGAAAAAGCACCGGCUAACUACGUGCCAGCAGCCGCGGUAAUACGUAGGGUGCGAGCGUUAAUCGGAAUUACUGGGCGUAAAGGGUGCGCAGGCGGUCUUGCAAGUCAGAUGUGAAAGCCCCGGGCUUAACCUGGGAAUUGCGUUUGAAACUACAAGGCUAGAGUGCAGCAGAGGGGAGUGGAAUUCCAUGUGUAGCAGUGAAAUGCGUAGAGAUGUGGAAGAACACCGAUGGCGAAGGCAGCUCCCUGGGUUGACACUGACGCUCAUGCACGAAAGCGUGGGGAGCAAACA
rnacentral:rRNA from 1 species